ensembl:lncRNA
UUACCACACCAAGAGAUAACCACACAGUUUACCAUUACCACACCAAGAGAUAACCACACAGUUUACCAUUACCACACCAAGAGAUAACCACACAGUUUACCAUUACCACACCAAGAGAUAACCACACAGCUCACCAUUAUGGAGACACCACACCAAGAGAUAACCACACAGCUCACCAUUAUGGAGACACCACACAGCUCACCAUUACGGGGAUACUAGAGCUUACCAUUACAGAUACCAACACCAAGAGAACCACACAGCUCACCAUUACGGAGAUACCACACAGCUCACUGUUAUGGAGAUACCACACAGCUCACCGUUAUGGAGAUACUAGAGCUUACCAUUACAGAUACCAACACCAAGAGAACCACACAGCUCACCAUUACGGAGAUACCACACAGCUCACCAUUACGGAGAUACUAGAGCUUACCAUUACAGAUACCACACCAAGAAUACCACACAGCUCACCAUUACGGAGAUACCACACAGCUCACCAUUAUGAAGAUACUAGAGCUUACCAUUACAGAUACCAACACCAAGAGAUACCACACAGCUCACCAUUACGGAGAUACUAGAGCUUACCAUUACAGAUGCCACACCAAGAGAACCACACAGCUCACCAUUACGGAGAUAGCAUACCGAGAAACAGAACUUACCAUUAAGGAGAUACCAGACAGCUCACCAUUACGGAGAUACUACACCAAUAGAUAAACAGAACUUACCGUUAUGGAGAUACCACACAGCUCACCAUUAUGGAGAUACUAGAGCUUACCAUUACAGAUACCAACACCAAGAGAACCACACAGCUCACGAUUACGGAGAUACCACACAGCUCACUGUUACGGAGAUACCACACAGCUCACCGUUAUGGAGAUACUAGAGCUUACCAUUACAGAUACCAACACCAAGAGAACCACACAGCUCACCAUUACGGAGAUACCACACAGCUUACCAUUACGGAGAUAC